rnacentral:lncRNA from 1 species
UUUUGCGAGGCUCCUUCGCUAGCUUUAGUUUUUUAGAUUCUUACUAAAUUUGUUUCCAUUUUAAUUCAAAUAAGAGUCUUGAAGGAGAUCCUGGACGUGAUUGUGCAGUGCUUGGCUUCUUUUAAUUCACUAGAUUGUUGGCUUGAUUUUUACCUUGUCUGAAAUCCAUGCGGAAAGGUUCUCUUGAUGCAAUUUUGAUGGAAAGGCAUCCCGAAUCAUUGUUGGUAUACUCUGUCACUUUUCCAGCCCCUCAGCGUGGCACUCAUUCACCUUGGCCCGAAGCAAAUUUUUAGUCCUGCUCCUUUCCCAUCAUCAACAGGUCCUCAGAAAUUUUUCGUAUAUUUAAUUAUGCUAUUGCUCAGGACUUUGCACAAAAUGCUGUUGUAGUUGCUGUUUCAGUCAGUUUUAUACUUCUGCUACCAAAUGACAAAUGCUGCUUUUGUUACUAUUGCAAGGAACAGUCCUAACUUGCUCCUAUUUCAUUUGUGUAUAAUCGAGCCUUGGGCCCCUUGAUGUUGGUUUUGGGGCCAUCGUGUAACAAUGCAUGGAAUUGUGCCGAGAAACUCUUUCUGGGCUCUUUACAUAUCGAGUGCUCGAGAACAUACGUGUCCAUGCCAAGAAGCUAGACAUGUUCUCUGUAGCUUUGCUGAGGAUAGUAACGCUACAGCAUUUUAGGCCAACAACCACCCUGAGAAGUGUGGCCUAAGAUGCCAAGAAGUGUAGUAUUUGGGCAAAGGCAACACUUUAGGAUUUUAGGCUACGCUUUUUCGGGGUGGUCAAAAGUACCGUAAUCUUUGACUAUUGGCCACGCUUUGUAGGUGUUGCAUUAGAAGUCACGCUUUAAAAGUGUGGCCGAAUCGUUACAAACACCACACUUAUAUUUUCUCAUAUAGUCACGCUUUUAUGAAAUAAGGCUACACUUAUGAAGCAUGAUCUUUGUCACGUCAUAGGCUAUGCUUACAAAGUGUGGCUUUUAGAGCAAUAUUUAUCAUGGGAGAUUUUCAUUUCUAUACCAAAUAUCAUACUAUAUUAAUGUUCAUAAUACCUAUAUUAUACUCCUAGUUCAUUUUUUUUUCAUUCUAUUUACCAAAUAAGCCCCACCCGCCAAUCACCCCAAAAAGGGAGAAAUAUAUUUAACUUUUGUGUUGGUUGAAGUAGAAACAUGUUGUAGUGGGGCUUGACUUUAAGUAUGGAUAUUAAAGUGAAAAGGGGAAAGUAAGAGUGGGUCUUACUACAAUUGAAGAAUAAAAUUUGGGAGGGAAUUUUUGUACUGCCGAGAACCAAUUUCUUAAAUGAUUCUUUCUACUUCAUAGACCUACAUUGCCUACAAUUGAAUUAAACCUACAUUGAAGCUUCAUAUUUGUUGUUCAUAUAAUUGAAAAGGGGAAAAGUAAGAGAGUUUUUGUGAGACAUUUCUUUUCUUCUGGUUGUUACGUUGUAUGUGUACUGAAACCUUUUGAGUAUUAUCUUGACCUAAUAUCC